GUUUAUCAAUCCAUUAUACUACUUUUCUCCUUAUAUUUUUCUUACUUUUUAACAUAAUCACACUUUGAGAAACACGCGCAUCCCAUUUUAAUUUCUAAAUAAGUGUUCAACUUUCUUUCUCAUCUCUCUCCUACUUUUGAUUUCCUCAUUCUGUUGACAAACCUUACAAUUGCCAUCUCUUUUUCCAUUCAAUUCUGUUUUACAAUCCCCCCCUUCACGCUCACCAUUGUUGGCUCUCCCUCCUUUACUAACUGCAACACGUUCAUAAUCUUCAAUUUUCUUCCAUUUUCGUUAAAUUUCUAAGCUUGCUAACAGGAGGAUUUACAGAACAAUAAUAUUUACCAGAAUCGUCUUAAACAAUCUGAAUCAGGAUUGUGACAUAUUGAUAAGUUAGCAAAUGAAUUCGCACUUGCUAAGCCAAGAAGAAUUACUGCAAUUAUGGCUGAGCGCAAAAUAUGUGUUGUGCAGGAUAAAAAGAGGAAGAUGAUAAGCAAGAGAGGUCCAAAGAAAAUUAUUCCAAGGAAAAAGAAAUAGCUGUUAUUUGAUCAAACAUCACACCAUUUAAUCAAACAUUUUGCUUUCGACAAGAUAAUAGCGUUGAUUGCGGCUACUACACUCUCAAAUAUAUGGAAGAUCUCUUACAAGCCAUGAAGAACGUUAGAGUCGAAAAUAUUGAUGCCGUUUUAUACGACACUUCAAGGGGAAGACGCACUUUGAGAGAUGACGAAAUGCGCGAAUUGAAAGACCAGAUUGCCGUGUAUCUUGCUAAUUUAUGUGUUUGGUAAUUAAUGUAAUUAGUUUAGAUUUAAGACUUUUGUAUAUAUAUAUAUAUAUAUAUAUAUAUAUAUAUAUAUAUAUAUGCUGCUGUUCUCCCAAAAUCGCAACAUAUAGUGUAUUUUUUUAUUUUUAAAAAACACACUAUAUGCUGUGGUUUUGGGUGAACCGUAGCACAUAGUCUGUUUUUUUAAAAUCGAAAAAUACACUAUAUGCUGCGGUUCCCCAAAAACCGCAACAUAUAGUGCACUAUUGUGCUGCGGUUUUAAACUGCAGCAUUUAAAAGUAGGCUAUCUGCUGCUAUCACUAAUGCUUGGGGUCAAAACCGCAACAUUUUAUGACAAAAAAACCGUAAUAAAUGAUGUUUUUUCCAAUUGGGUUAGUUGGGUGAUUUUUGUGACUUUUUGGUCGUGAAUUGACGCUUACAGGUAUGUACACGCAGUAAUUAACUAUUAUAUUCAACGUUUCAAAGUAUUGUCAAUGUUUUGGGAUUUUAUGCAUUUUAUUAGAAUUUAAGAGCGCUUGAAAGUAAAUAUGCCAUUGAAAAGUUUUGAUAGUAGUAUAGGCAAGUAUAAUGAAAGUAUUAGUAGAAUAUGAGAACAAACUCUCCAAUAUUAGAAAAAGAAUUAUGUUUGGGGUGUGGUAUCGAAAUGUUUCCCCUAUUGUUAAGUCUUGAUUUUGAGUAGACGGCGUGACUCAACUGGAUUUAUAUUCAGUUGAUUUAGUAGACCCCUAGGUGAGAUCCGACGGGAUCAUUGUACGAAGUGUUUGAGCAUACUUUUGUCGUUGGGAGCCGGAUGGCCGAUACCGCCCCUUGACCGAGGUGUUACCAUUCGGGCCUUACAAACCCUAAUAUGGUAGCCUCUUUAUUGGAUUGGCACCCUAGUGUGUUUAAUUUUCUUAUAGGUAGGACCCGAGAGGGUCAGCUUGAGGGGAUAUGAGCUCAUACUUUGCCAUGGGCUCGGAUGGCCGAUAACGCCCUUAGCGUUGUCACUAUGCCAUAUAUAGAGAAAGAUUCACUACUCUUCAAUAUUCUUCGAGGGAUAAGAAGUUCUGAAAAAGAAAUUGUGAGUGAACAAAAGUGUUUAGACAGAUGAGUAGAAUCUUUAUUGUUGUGCUAUGUCGUCGUCUAUUCCCUUUGUUCUAUGAUUUUAAUUAUUAUAAGUAUUGAUUACUGACGCGUAUGUGUUUGUUCCUUGCUGUUUUGAUUAUGACUUUCUAUGAUGUUUCUGCUAUGAUAUAUUUGGCUAUGGCCAUUAUGUUGAGCAGCAGUAGGAUCAUAGGUUGCAUAACAGGUAUAAUUUCCUUUCUUUUGCAUUGCAUUGGGGAAAGAGUGGAAUACGAUCAUAGCAAUUGUUAUACAAGUAACCAAAUGCUUUGUAGCUCUUAUAUUAAUUGUAAAGUUUUUGGAUGUGUAAUUCCUUUGUAUGGAGCCACGUGACUACUUGUAUGUUUCGUAGUUCCGCUGUAUGAUUUUUGGAUGUAUGGUCGUAGUAAUACUUCUUUCAUAGCUGUUAAACCGAUUCGUUAACACUAGAACCACGAUCCGUGUUAGAAUUGAUAAAUUGAUGAGCCGACGAUGAUUCUUCCGUCGUGACAUAUUUCUGAAGGGCUUUGAUGCAUUCGAUUAGUUUAGUUGAGUUGCUUUAUUUACCGAUGUUUGUUACGUCCUCAAUUUCAGUAGAAAUGUUGUCGAAAUUUCUACACAUCUCUUUAAAGUUAACCUUUAACGUUUAUUUAAUUUUUUUUUUCUUUUCUUUUCUGUAACUCCCAAAUUUCCUUCUGUCCUUUACGAUUUUAGUUUCGUUUAUGGGGUUGGAAAUUCAGGGACGUUACAACAAACUUUUGUUAUUUGAAAUAAACAUAGUUAGUAUUAUAACACUACAUAGUAUAUAAAACUUUACAGUUGGGGUUAUAAUGAUUUACAUUUUGCUUUGAUAUUAUUGUCAAAUUCAGUAGUUGGAUUUAUAAUUUUAUAAAUUUGGUAUUAUAAUACUAUAUAGUUGGGAUUUUAAUUUUACAACGUUGGUAUUUUAAAAUUACACAGUUGGAUUAUAAUGCUACAAAGUUGAUAUUAUAAUAUUACACAAAUGGUAUUAUAAUAUUAUAUAUUUCGUAUUAUAUUACUACAAAGUUGGUAUUAUAGUAUUAUAAAGGUAAAAUGUCCAGAAAAUAAUCUGAACUUUCGACAAGUGGUGUACUGAAAUUAUCAUCUCAACUAUCUUUAUUAGAUUUUUAUACGUAUAAUGUUUUUUCCUUAAAUCUCAAUAUACUCUAGUACAGAUAAAUUUUAUAAUUCAUGUUAAAUUUUUAAGCUGCCAUAGAAUAUAUAAUUAAGUGGACUAAAUUGCAGUAAUUAAUAUAUAUAUAUUCAUCUAUGUUAAAAUAUGAGGAUACAUAGUAUCAGUUGAGUAUAUAAAUAUGAUUUUUCAUUGCUAGCAUAUAUAAUGCCAAAUAUAUUACUCGCUGAAUCAUUAUUUAUGGUGCAAAAAAUACUGAUGGAAGUAUCAAUAUCAGUUUUUCCUUAAAUUAGUGCAUAUUUUUCUGGUAUCAAGGUUAGAUUUGGAGAUCAAUUGUAGUUAAUUUUUACCACAAUAUUACAAAAAAUAUUAUAUAUU